GCAUGUUUAAUUUUUUUAAAAUUAAAAAAAAAAAAACAAAUAGCGAUUGUUUCGAAAACCUAGUAUUUUGUAUGAUCAAAGGGACGCUUUUCACGAAUAGUUUUUCCAAACAUAUAUAAUGCUGCUAUUGAAAAAUUUAUGGCGACUAAAAGAAAAGCUAGUAGACUCGAACCCCAACCAUAUCCAAGUCUCUCAAACAAUUUUUCUGCAAAUAAAGGAAAGCAGGCACCGAAAAUAUUUCUAGGAAUGGCGAUGGCAGCCAUCGCGCUUGCCGCAUAUCGGCCAUAAUUAUCGACGAUAAACAUGUUCAUGGGAUUGAAUGUCAUGACAAAUCCGGCUCCUACCAAUGUCGUUCCGAUCAACGGCACGAACCAAAAGACUUUGUACUGAACGGUCCAACCAAAAAUAAACAUACCGGUCAUAAUGGCAAAACACCCAAGAAAAGCCAUUGGUAAGCGAAAUUCUGGUUCUGGCACUCCAUUGUUUUUCUGAACAGCAGAAAGCCAAUACUUCUGGUUCAAAGGAAGAAGGACAAACACCGCAAAUACUUGACCAAUUGAUAGAGAAAUAUAGGUCAGACCGCUUAAUCCCGAAGUGAAGUGGUAUUGUGAAAUCCAGACCUCAGCAAAGGCAGUGAAUAAAAGGUACAAAAUUCCAUAAACAGUGCCAACGAUUAAUGAAAUAAGGAUCAUAAUUGGUUGUGUGCAUAGCAGAUGCAAAGGACGUCGAAUCGUGGUUACGAGAAUAUGCACUACUUCAGCGAAGCUUUUGUCGGGGUCAAUUUGUUGUGAGGAUUCCGUAAUUUCUGAGAUCUUGACUUCGACUGAUUUCUGAUUUUCCUGUUUUUCAAGAAGUUUCUUUGCUUGUUUCCUUUUCAGUACAGGAGCAUAAGUCUCUUUUAAAAACACAACACCAGCUAAAAGACUUACUCCUGAAAGCAUUAACAGAAUCCAAAACUCCCAUCUCCAAGAGAUGGAGCUCCCGGCGAUAAAGCCUGAUGCUAUAGGGGCAAUUGCGGGUCCCAAACAAAUCCCGAGAAAGUAAAUUCCAAUAUAUUUUCCUCUGUCUCUUUUGCUAAACAUGUCGCUUAAGCUACCAGCUCCAAUACCCAAACCUACUGAUCCAAAAAAUCCACUGAAAAACCGAAAGACCACGAACAUUGCAAGGUUCACCGACAAAGCCGUGGGUAUUUGCAUCAGCGCGAAAAGAGUAUAGCCAAAUAUGUUGAGAGGCCUUCUUCCAUAUAAUUCACUGAGAGGACUGAAUAUCAAAGGGCCUAGCAUUACGCCGAUCACAUAAAGAGUCGCACCUAAAACGACCAAUGUUUCCGGUUCACCGAAUUUCUCACACAGCUCGGGAAUGCUUGGCAUAAAAACGCUGGAUCCAUACAUACAUAGCAUAGUCAUGAAAGAAAUAAUUAUCGUAUUUAUUAUUCUAAUCCUUAUAGGCCAGGUGAGAGGAUCGCAUUGGUCAAUUGAAUCCUUGGAUUCAAUUGACUUCACCGGCAAAAGCUCUAUAUCUUUGAAAUCCUUGUCAGAAACAGACAUUAUAAUUGUUUAAUUUCUGAAACAAGAUGAAGAAGAUUGAGAAUGAUGAGAAUAUAUAUAUCAUUUGCAAUUACUUGCUUCGGCGUUAUGAACUUUCCUCGGCGAUAAGCAUGCAGUUAAAACAGUGCUAGUGCAGGAGCUAGCUUCAAAGUUUGCACUUAUAUCCUCGGAGUUUAGCGAUACGGUGAAGCGAGCGAUACGAAGUCGAUUACUAUUAGAUCAAUUGUUAGGUUACACGAGCGUAUGAUCAUGAACAAAACGUUCGAUGAACUCAAAAUGAAAAUUUCUAUUCAAUUCCAUU
rnacentral:lncRNA from 1 species